GGCAAGGUGGCCGAGCGGUCUAAGGCGCGCGGUUAAGGCUUUCCAAAUUCGGAUCCCUUUAAUCUUGAUAUUUCAAGUUUCCGCGUCAUUAAUUUGGCGUGGGUUCGAAUCCCACCCUUGUCA